CAGUCGCCACGGUAAUACGAGGGGAGCUAGCGUUGUUCGGAAUUACUGGGCGUAAAGCGCGCGUAGGCGGCUUUUUAAGUCAGAGGUGAAAGCCCGGGGCUCAACCCCGGAAUUGCCUUUGAAACUGGAAAGCUAGAAUCUUGGAGAGGUCAGUGGAAUUCCGAGUGUAGAGGUGAAAUUCGUAGAUAUUCGGAAGAACACCAGUGGCGAAGGCGACUGACUGGACAAGUAUUGACGCUGAGGUGCGAAAGCGUGGGGAGCAAACAGGAUUAGAUACCCCAGUAGUCCCUGUCUCUUAUAC
rnacentral:rRNA from 1 species